CUAACAAGGAUUCCCCUAGUAACGGCGAGUGAAGAGGGAAGAGCUCAAAUUUGUAAUCUGGCGGCCUCGCGGUCGUCCGAGUUGUAGUCUGGAGAAGCGUCUUCCGUGCCGGACCGUGUACAAGUCCCUUGGAACGGGGUGUCGUAGAGGGUGAGAACCCCGUCUUCGACACGGACUGCCGGUGCUCUGCGAUGCGCUCUCGAAGAGUCGAGUUGUUUGGGAAUGCAGCUCAAAACGGGUGGUAAAUUCCAUCUAAAGCUAAAUACGGGCGAAAGACCGAUAGCGAACAAGUACCGUGAGGGAAAGAUGAAAAGAACUUUGGAAAGAGAGUUAAACAGUACGUGAAAUUGUUGAAAGGGAAACGUUCAAAGUCAGUCGCGUCUGUCGGGGCUCAGCCGGGCGUUCGCGUCCGGUGCACUCCUCGACGUGACGGGCCAGCAUCGAUUUYGACCGUCGGAGAAAGGCUCUGGGAAYGUGGCACCUCCGGGUGUGUUAUAGCCCUCUGUCUCAUGCGACGGUCGGGAUCGAGGACCGCAGCGUGCCCUUCGCCGGGCCGGGGUUCGCCCACGUAACGCGCUUAGGAUGCUGGCGUAAUGGCUUUGA
rnacentral:rRNA from 1 species